CUUUCUUUGCUGGCGACCGGCGCACGGGUGAGUAACACGUAUCCAACCUGCCCUUUACUCGGGGAUAGCCUUUCGAAAGAAAGAUUAAUACCCGAUAGCAUAAUGAUUCCGCAUGGUUUCAUUAUUAAAGGAUUCCGGUAAAGGAUGGGGAUGCGUUCCAUUAGGUUGUUGGUGAGGUAACGGCCCACCAAGCCUUCGAUGGAUAGGGGUUCUAAGAGGAAGGUCCCCCACAUUGGAACUGAGACACGGUCCAG
rnacentral:rRNA from 1 species